UCGCCUACGGGGCGCAGCAGUAGGGAAUCCUCCACAAUGGACGAAAGUCUGAUGGAGCAACGCCGCGUGAGUGAAGAAGGGUUUCGGCUCGUAAAACUCUGUUGGUAGUGAAGAAAGAUAGAGGGAGUAACUUGCCUUUAUUUGACGGUAAUUACUUAGAAAGUCACGGCUAACUACGUGCCAGCAGCCGCGGUAAUACGUAGGUGGCAAGCGUUGUCCGGAUUUAUUGGGCGGAAAGCGAGUGCAGGCGG
rnacentral:rRNA from 1 species